AGCUGCAUUAUUUGACGUUUAGCGACAGAAGAAGCACCGGCUAACUCCGUGCCAGCAGCCGCGGUAAUACGGAGGGUGCGAGCGUUAAUCGGAAUUACUGGGCGUAAAGACGCAUGCAGGUGGUUUGUUAAGUUCAGAUGUGAAAGACCCGGGGCGUCAACCUCGGAAUAGCAUUUGAAACUAGGCAGACUAGAGUACUGUAGAGGGGGGUAGGAAUUUCAGGUGUAGCGGUGAAAUAGCGUAGAGAUCUGAAGGAAUACCGGUGGCGAAGGCGGCCCCCUCGGACAGAUACUGACACUCAGAUGCGAAAGCGUGGGGAGCAAACAGGAUUAGAUACCCUGGUAG
rnacentral:rRNA from 1 species